rnacentral:rRNA from 1 species
UAGGGAAUCUUCCGCAAUGGGCGAAAGCCUGACGGAGCAACGCCGCGUGAGUGAUGAAGGUCUUCGGAUCGUAAAACUCUGUUAUUAGGGAAGAACAAAUGUGUAAGUAACUAUGCACGUCUUGACGGUACCUAAUCAGAAAGCCACGGCUAACUACGUGCCAGCAGCCGCGGUAAUACGUAGGUGGCAAGCGUUAUCCGGAAUUAUUGGGCGUAAAGCGCGCGUAGGCGGUUUUUUAAGUCUGAUGUGAAAGCCCACGGCUCAACCGUGGAGGGUCAUUGGAAACUGGAUAACUUGAGUGCAGAAGAGGAAAGUGGAAUUCCAUGUGUAGCGGUGAAAUGCGCAGAGAUAUGGAGGAAAACCAGUGGCGAAGGCGACUUUCUGGUCUGUAACUGACGCUAAUGUGCGAAAGCGUGGGGAUCAAACAGG